rnacentral:rRNA from 1 species
GAUGAACGCUGGCGGCGUGCCUAAUACAUGCAAGUCGAGCGAACGGACGAUAAGCUUGCUUCUCUGAUGUUUGCGGCGGGCGGGUGAGUAACACGUGGAUAACCCACCUAUAUGUCGGGGAUAACCUCGGGAAACCGGAGCUAAUACCGGAUAAUAUUUUGAACCGCAUGGUUCAAAAGUGAAUUUCGGUCUUGCUGUCACUUAUCGAUGGAUCCGCGCUGCAUUAGCUAGUUGGUAAGGUAACGGCUUACCAAGGCAACGAUGCAUAACCGACCUGAGAGGAUGAUCGCCCACAUUGGAACUGAGCCGCGGUCCAGACUCCUACGGGAGGCAGCAGUAGGGAAUGUUACGCAGUGGGCGAAAGCCUGGCGCAGCAAGGCGGCGUGAGUGAUGAAGGUGUUGGGAUCGGAAAACCCUGUUAUUAGGGAAGAACAUAUGUGGAAUUAAAUGAGCACAUCGUGACGGUACCUAAUCAGAAAGCCACGGCUAACUACGUG